rnacentral:rRNA from 1 species
UACGAAGGGGGCGAGCGUUAUUCGGAAUCACUGGGCGUAAAGCGUGCGUAGGCUGUUUUGUAAGUCAGAAGUGAAAGCCCAGGGCUUAACCCUGGAAUUGCUUUUGAAACUACAAGACUCGAAUUCGGGAGAGGAUAGCGGAAUUGUCAGUGUAGCAGUGAAAUGCGUAGAUAUUGACAGGAACACCAGUGGCGCAAGCGGCUAUCUGGACCGACAUUGACGCUGAGGCACGAAAGCGUGGGGAGCAAACAGG